rnacentral:misc_RNA from 1 species
GGGGUGUGUGGUACAGUUUUGAGGCCUGGUGGGGGAAUUGGGCUCUGGUCUGGGCUGACACUCUUGUGCCAAAAGAUUAAACAAUUCUUUGAAAAAGGGGCACCUGGCAAUGUUCCUACAACAGUGCCAAAGGAUUCAGUUUGAGUAUGUAUAAUAAUUGGUCUGGUCCUGUUUAUAUUCUUUUAUAAAUCUGUUUAUUUUGAACAAACCAUGUUUUUCAUUUGCAGAAUGAUCGGAGAUCUUUAAAACCAUAUAUAAUAGAGAAGUUAAAAUAGAGAUAAUAUUUAUGGGGGAAAGGAGGGAAAAAAAAAGACAAUGAGAGAGCUCUCUAGGAGGCUGGGAGGGAAAACUAUAUGCCACUUUCAUUUGGUUAUCUAAAUUUUCUAUUCUUUACACUAAUUUUAUUUCCUAUGUCAUGUUAGAUUCUAUCUGAAGAUUUGCC